rnacentral:rRNA from 1 species
GACGAACGCUGGCGGCGUGCUUAACACAUGCAAGUCGAACGGGAAGUCCCUGCUUUUGUGGGGUGCUCUAGUGGCGAACGGGUGAGUAACACGUGAGUAACCUGCCAUUGACUUUGGGAUAACUUCAUGAAACUGGGUCUAAUACCGGAUAGGAGCUCCUGCUUCAUGGUGGGGGUUGGAAAGUUUCGGCGGUUGGGGAUGGACUCGCGGCUUAUCAGCUUGUUGGUUGGGUAGUGGCUUACCAAGGCUUUGACGGGUAGCCGGCCUGCGAGGGUGACCGGCCACAUCGGGACUGAGCUACGGCACAGACCACUCCGGGAGGCAGCAGUGGGGAAGAUUGCACUAUGGGAGGAAGCAUGAUGCAGCCAAGCCGCGUCCGGGAUGACGGCAUUCGGGUUGUAUACCGAUUUCGCCUGUGACGAAGCGUGAGUGACGGUAAUGGGUAAAGAAGCACCGGCUAACUACGUG